UUGGAGGGCAAGUCUGGUGCCAGCAGCCGCGGUAAUUCCAGCUCCAAUAGCGUAUAUUAAAGUUGUUGCAGUUAAAAAGCUCGUAGUUGAAUUUCGAGACCGGUCUACUGGUCGUGCUUUUGUACGUACUGGUUUUAUUGGUUUCUCCUUUCUGACGAACUAUAAUGCCAUUAAUUUGGUGUUAUGGGGAAUCAGGACUGUUACUUUGAAAAAAUUAGAGUGUUUAAAGCAGGCUCACGCUUGAAUACAUUAGCAUGGAAUAACGGAAUAGGACGUUUGAUUCUAUUUUGUUGGUUUCUAGGAUCGACGUAAUGAUUAAUAGGGAUAGUUGGGGGCAUUAGUAUUCAAUUGUCAGAGGUGAAAUUCUUGGAUUUAUUGAAGACUAACUACUGCGAAAGCAUUUGCCAAGGAUGUUUUCAUUAAUCAAGAACGAAAGUUAGGGGAUCGAAGACGAUCAGAUACCGUCGUAGUCUUAACCAUAAACUAUGCCGACUAGGAAUCGGGCGUCGUUAUUUUCACGACUCGCUCGGCGCCUUACGGGAAAC
rnacentral:rRNA from 1 species